CCCCCCCGCCCUGGCUGUGCCUACCCACCCGCACUGCCAGCUUGCCACUGGUCGGGAAUUGCUUCUUUUUUCUCCUGACCAGUGUGUGGGGCAGAAGAUCUCAAGGACAAUGAGGGGGUGCAACUUCUGAGAAUGCUCAAGGGAAGGCAAAUGAGUUUCUAUAAGACAAGUGAAAUAUCUCAGCAGGGUUUUGAUACAUCCCUAGAAUACUCAUAUGUGAAUUCUAUUGGAAUCCAUGGCAUUUAUUUCCAAAUUUAUAUCCUGUGUUUCUUACAUGGAGCCACAUGGUUAAGUUGCUCCUCACAACAACCCUGAGGGGUAGGCCAGGCGGAGAGAUAAAUCUUUAACAUGAAGCACCUUAAUUUAAAAGGAUUUCAAGCAGCAAUAGAUGGAAGCAACCUCUGCAUCUGAUAUUGCACAGCUUUGAUCUGCAGUGGCACCUCGGCACCAUCCUCCAAUAUCACCUGAAUGCACAGCAGCAUUUUGCUAUCAUCAACCAGUUUACCUAAAGGGAAGUGGCUGCUUCUUGGUGGAUAGGUAUGUGCCUGAAACCUGGGAAGGAGGCUGUCUUGCAGAACCUCCCCUGUACUCGUGCUCCUCGCUCCUCCUCAUUUUCCUCCUGAAAUCAGAUACAGCAACAAUAGCUGUUUCUGUGGGGUGGG